UACGGGGGGGGCAAGCGUUGUUCGGAAUUACUGGGCGUAAAGGGCUCGUAGGCGGCCAACUAAGUCAUACGUGAAAUCCCUCGGCUUAACCGGGGAACUGCGUCUGAUACUGGAUGGCUUGAGAUUGGGAGAGGGAUGCGGAAUUCCAGGUGUAGCGGUGAAAUGCGUAGAUAUCUGGAGGAACACCGGUGGCGAAGGCGGUUCUCUGGGAAUUACCUGACGCUGAGGAGCGAAAGUGUGGGGAGCGAACAGG
rnacentral:rRNA from 1 species